rnacentral:lncRNA from 1 species
CCCCAUAUUUCUACCACCACCUACCCCAUUCAAUCAUUCUUAGUAGAUCGACAAAAUUCCAUCAAUAAUCUUCCACACCAUAUCCCAGUAUUCACCUCUAUUGUGGGUCCAAUACGGUUCCUUUGUGUUAGUUCUCCAAUUUACUAAUCAAUGCAAAUGAAAUGUCUAAUUAUACAAGUUCUUAAACUAUAAUUGUUAACUAUUGACUCGAUUAAGUAAACAUGUUACAAUAUCAUAUCCAUUUUCUUCAUAGUUUGAAUGAAUGAAAAUAUUAACUAAAGGAGCUCAAGCCUCUUAUUAAUCUUAAGGUAUUGACACAAUACCCCCUAACAUUUACUUAUUUUGUGGAAUAUCCCAUAAUCUUCCAUUUUGACUUUAAAACUUUGCGGAACACAAUUUUUUCUUUGCAGAAUACAAUAUUUUUAUUCAAAUUUCUUUAUAAAGUCUUGUAAAAUGAUGAAUUUACCCCCAUUUCUAAAUUUAAUAAUUUAAAAAAAAGAAGAAGAAGAAGAAGAAGAAGAAGAAAUAGAGAAUUAAUUGCAAUUAUAGUCUCAAAUGUUUCAAAAAAUUGCAAAAGAGUCCGCUUAAAUAAACUAUAGAGUGUUUAUAAAUAACACCAAAUUAUAUUGAAUAUGAGUUUGACGUACCAUAAUGAAAUU